rnacentral:lncRNA from 1 species
CAGCAUGGCUGCCCAGAUCCUCACACUGAAGAUGAGGAUGACCUAGAUGUUCUCAUGGUUGAGGUAGUAAAUAACAGAAAUGGACUAGCCUGCGGAGAUGCUUUUUCUAUGCGGAACUACUUUACAAUAAACAAUAGCCAUGGAUUGGUAACACAUUUUUUAUUUUAUUCAGAAUUGAAAAUAAUGGGACCCCGAACUGGUGCUGGUUUUAAAAGAACAUUGGUACUGCUGCUGCUUUACGUUUCUCUCCUCCUCCUUCAUAGCCGUCUCAACAUGAGGUUUCUCUCCUCCUCCUCCUUCAUAGCCAACUCAAUAUGAGGUUUCUCUCCUCCUCCUCCUUCAUAGCCAACUCAAUAUGAGGUUUCUCUCCUCCUCCUUCAUAGCCAACUCAAUAUGAGGUUUCUCUCCUCCUCCUCCUUCAUAGCCAACUCAAUAUGAGGUUUCUCUCCUCCUCCUCCUUCAUAGCCAACUCAAUAUGAGGUUUCUCUCCUCCUCCUUCAUAGCCAACUCAAUAUGAGGUUUCUCUCCUCCUCCUCCUUCAUAGCCAACUCAACAUUAGGUUUCUCUCCUCCUCCUUCAUAGCCAACUCAAUAUGAGGUUUUACAUCUUCAUAUUUUAAUUUAACCCUUAUUUCACCUGGUAAGUUGACUGAGAACACAUUCUCAUUUACAGCAACGACCUGGGGAAUAGUUACAGGGGAGAGGAGGGGAAUGAAUGAGCCAAUUGUAAGUUGGGGAUGAUUAGUUGACCGUGAUGGUAUGAGGGCCAGUUUGAGAAUUUAGCCAGGACACCAGGGGUUAACACCCCUACUCUUACAAUAAAGUCCAAUGAGAUCUUAAAUUACCACAGAGUCAAAACACCAGUUUAACGUCACAUCCGAAAGACAGCACCCUACACAGGGAAAUGUCCCCAAUCACUGCCCUGGGGCAUUGGGAUAUUUUUUGGACCAGAUGAAAAGGUGCCUCCUACUGGCCCUCCAACACCACUUCCAGCAGCAUCUGGUGCCCCAUCCAGGACCAAUCCUGCUUAGCUUCAGAAGCAAGCCAGCAGUGUGGUAUGCUGCUCUACUUUUAAAUACAUUAGUUUGAGCUCGUUAAAUUCCAUGGGCAGUUCCUCAUGCAUGCUCAGCAUCUUUGCCUUUGUGUCACUAACCCGGGCCAGAAGACGAUCUCCCUCCUGGCUGCUGCAGAUGUAGCAGGCUGACCUUCAUCCUGUUAAGACAAGUCUGUCUUAACCUCCAAGCUAUGGUGAUCAUCAGCCUCUAGAAAAUGAUUACAUUGCUGCAUUAGAGAACAUUAUUUCUUCAAGAGUUGAGUUCAUUACGUCAGUUUUAUUAUGGGAGUGCAAGAGAUGACUGACAAUAUCACAUAUUCCCUGCAGUCUGGGGAUGGAACAUGUUGAAUGAAUGUGUCCUACCAAAUGAAGAUUGGAACGGUCCCCCAUCUGAACUGUCCAAAUGGUCGUUGUCUAGGAUACCCUCCAGGGGUUUCUGGCUAUCAAUGAGCCCUGUCAACAAGUCUCCCAGCUCAUCUGCCGAUGGUCUUACUGAGGGCCAGCCACCAUCUUGAAACGCUCCCCACGACCAACCGCAUUUGUCUUCUUUAUGUCGAUUUUUAUGUUUUUUCCACAGGACUUUAGAAAGACAAGACAAUAUCGAAAUGAUGUUAGUAAUUAUGGAUGAUAUUUUUUGUUACAUUUCUGUCUCACAAAUACAUUUUGGUCCCACUGUGUUAUGUUACAGAAGAAAACUA